CUUAACGUUUAUGUAACCACUAUAACAACAUCAACCCAAGAAGACCUUAUUAAUUUUUACGUUAACCUUACACUAGUACAUUUCAGGAAAGAUUAAAAAAGAGAGAAGGAACUCGGCAAAUUUUAGCCCCGCCUGUUUACCAAAAACAUCACCUCUUGGCAUAAUAUAAGAGGCCCAGCCUGCCCGGUGACAAAGUUUAACGGCUACGGUACCCUGACCGUACGAAGGUAGCAUAAUCACUUGUUCCUUAAAUAGGGACUUGUAUCAACGGCAUCACGAGGGCUGCACUGUCUCCUCUCUUCAAUCAGUGAAACUGAUCCUCCCGUGAAGAAGCGGGAAUUUAAUUAUAAGACGAGAAGACCCCAUGGAGCUUUAAAUAACGUACUCACACUAUAUAAAUAUACCACUUAACUAAAAGCCCUGAGUACAAGUUUUAGGUUGGGGAGACCGCGGAGAACAACUAAACCUCCAUGACAAACGGCCCAAGCCCUUAUCCACGAGCCACAACUCUAAGAAUCAGCACACUGAUGAUUA
rnacentral:rRNA from 1 species